rnacentral:rRNA from 1 species
GCCAGCAGCCAUAUCACCCUGCAACUCACAACUGGCAACCCACUGAAUCAGGUGUGAGCCUGAUCAGUACCUGGAUGGGAGACUCCCUGGGAAAAACUAAGGCUGCUGCUGGAA